UACGGAGGGUGCAAGCGUUAUCCGGAUUCACUGGGUUUAAAGGGUGUGUAGGCGGGCAUUUAAGUCAGUGGUGAAAUCUCCAGGCUCAACCUGGAAACUGCCAUUGAUACUAUUUGUCUUGAAUCCUGUUGAGGUGGGCGGAAUAUAUCAUGUAGCGGCGAAAUGCUUAGAUAUGAUAUAGAACACCGAUUGCGAAGGCAGCUCACUAAGCAGGCAUUGACGCUGAGGCACGAAAGCGUGGGGAUCAAACAGG
rnacentral:rRNA from 1 species